rnacentral:rRNA from 1 species
UUGCGGGNGGGAUGACGGCCUAUGGGUUGUAAACCUCUUUUUUCAGGGAGGAAUCAAAUGACGUGUACCUGAAGAAUAAGCAUCGGCUAACUCCGUGCCAGCAGCCGCGGUAAGACGGAGGAUGCAAGUGUUAUCCGGAAUCACUGGGCGUAAAGCGUCUGUAGGUGGUCCAAUAAGUCAACUGUUAAAUCUUGAGGCUCAACCUCGAAAUCGCAGUCGAAACUAUUAGACUAGAGUAUAGUAGGGGUAAAGGGAAUUUCCAGUGGAGCGGUGAAAUGCGUAGAGAUUGGAAAGAACACCGAUGGCGAAGGCACUUUACUGGGCUAUUACUAACACUCAGAGACGAAAGCUAGGGUAGCAAAUGGGAUUAGAUACCCCAGUAGUCCUAGCCGUAAACAAUGGAUACUAGAUGUUGAACAGAUCGACCUGUGCAGUAUCAAAGCUAACGCGUUAAGUAUCCCGCCU